rnacentral:rRNA from 1 species
GCGUUACUGCCGGCGCCGACCUACCUGCCGGUUUGCGCGCGGUGCUUUUCUCCGAGUGCCGCGCGUGGCCGGAACGUUUACUUUGAAAAAAUUAGAGUGCUCAAAGCAGGCGUCUCGCCUGAAUAGUAGUGCAUGGAAUAAUGGAAUAGGACCUCGGUUCUAUUUUGUUGGUUUUCGGAGCUCGAGGUAAUGAUUAAGAGGGACGGACGGGGGCAUUCGUAUUACGGUGUUAGAGGUGAAAUUCUUGGAUCGCCGUAAGACGAACUACUGCGAAAGCAUUUGCCAAGAAUGUUUUCAUUAAUCAAGAACGAAAGUCAGAGGUUCGAAGACGAUCAGAUACCGUCG